rnacentral:rRNA from 1 species
AAGCGGUGGAUGAUGUGGAUUAAUUCGAUGCAACGCGAAAACCUUACCUACCCUUGACAUGUCCGGAAUCCUGCAGAGAUGCGGGAGUGCCCGAAAGGGAAUCGGAACACAGGUGCUGCAUGGCUGUCGUCAGCUCGUGUCGUGAGAUGUUGGGUUAAGUCCCGCAACGAGCGCAACCCUUAUCAUUAGUUGCUACGCAAGGGCACUCUAAUGAGACUGCCGGUGACAAACCGGAGGAAGGUGGGGAUGACGUCAAGUCCUCAUGGCCCUUAUGACCAGGGCUACACACGUGCUACAAUGGCCGGUACAAAGAGUUGCGAUACCGCGAGGUGGAGCUAAUCUCAUAAAGCCGGUCUCAGUUCGGAUUGGAGUCUGCAACUCGACUCCAUGAAGUUGGAAUCGCUAGUAAUCGCGGAUCAGCACGCCGCGGUGAAUACGUUCCCGGGCCUU